GACGAACGCUGGCGGCGUGCCUAACACAUGCAAGUCGAGCGGGAACCUCAGGAGGGGUAACCCUUCCGAGGGGAGAGCGGCGAACGGGUGAGUAACACGUGGGCAACCUGCCCCGGACACCGGGAUAACCCAGGGAAACCUGAGCUAAUACCGGAUACUCCGGCGCGAUCGCAUGGUCGCGCCGGGAAAGCUCCGACGGUCCGGGAUGGGCCCGCGGCCUAUCAGCUUGUUGGUGGGGUAACGGCCCACCAAGGCGACGACGGGUAGCUGGUCUGAGAGGACGGCCAGCCACACUGGGACUGAGACACGGCCCAGACUCCUUCGGGAGGCAGCAGUGGGGGAUCUUGCGCUAAUGCGCGAAAGCGUGACGCAGCGACGCCGCGUGGGGGAUGAAGGCCUUCGGGUUGUAAACCCCUUUCGGCAGGGACGAAGGGAAACUGACGGUACCUGCAGAAGAAGUCCCGGCUAACUACGUGC
rnacentral:rRNA from 1 species